rnacentral:tRNA from 1 species
AAUAGAAUGCCUGACUAAAAGGGCUAUCUUGAUAGGAUAGAUCAUGCAAAAUUUUGCUUCUAUUA